rnacentral:lncRNA from 1 species
UACAUUUUCUAUUUUAACUUCAUUGUUACGUAUGGAUAGAAACUUUUACAAGAAGAAAUGAUCCAAAAAUUUAAAAAUAAUUAUUCCUUAAAUAGUGAUUCCUUUUCCAUUUACAGCUUUUCAAUUAAUUUUUAAUGUAUUAUAUAUGGUUAUGGAUAUUGGAAUAAUAAUUUUAUCUUUCCUUAAUCAUAAUAAAUUAUAUUUUAACCUUUGUUUUUGUGAAAUGAUAA